GACCUUGUGGCUCAGUUGGUAGAGCAUGGUGUGUGCAACGCCAUGGUUGUGGGUUUGAUUCCCACGGGGGGCC
rnacentral:tRNA from 1 species